rnacentral:lncRNA from 1 species
UCCUAAUUUGAUAUUCAAUGAGGCACUGUUCUCGAUGCUCCAAUUCAUUUUGUGUACGAGAUUUUGUGAGAUGAAGUUAUGAGAUGCUCCACUGUCGAUCAAGAUUACCACUGGCACCUCUUGGAUUGACCCCUUCAGUUUAAUGACUUGUGGUAUGGACUGUCUGGCCCGGCCCAAUUGAUAGAAAUCCAUCAUGCUCAUUUCUCCUUGCACCCCCUCUUCUUCAUCUUCUAUCUCNNN